rnacentral:rRNA from 1 species
CACGUAGGCACCAAGCGUUGUCCGGAUUUAUUGGGCGUAAAGAGCUCGUAGGCGGUUCAGUAAGUCGGGUGUGAAAACUCUGGGCUUAACCCGGAGAGGCCACUCGAUACUGUUGAACUUGAGUACGGUAGGGGAGUGGGGAAUUCCUGGUGGUAGCGGUGAAAUGCUUAGAUAUGACAUAGAACACCAAUUGCGAAGGCAGCUGGCUACACGAAUAUUGACACUGAUGCACGAAAGCGUGGGGAUCAAACAGG